rnacentral:rRNA from 1 species
AGUUCGAUUCUGGCUCAGAUUGAACGCUGGCGGGACGCUUUACACAUGCAAGUCGAACGGCAAUGGACUUCGGUCUGGUGGCGAGUGGCGGAACGGGUGAGAAUGUAUCGGAACGUGCCUAGUAGUGGAUAACUACGCGAAAGGUAGCUAAUACCGCAUAAUACCCUUCGGGGGAAAGCGGGGACCUUCGGGCCUCGCACUAUUAGAGCGCCGAUAUCGGAUUAGUUGGAAGCAGGUGUGUAACGGCUCACCAAGGCGACGAUCCGUAGCUGGUUUGAGAGGACGACCAGCCACACUGGGACUGAGACACGGCCCAGACUCCUACGGAGGCAGCAGUGGGAAUUUUGGACAAUGGGGAAACCCCUGAUCCAGCCAUCCUGCGGUGAUGAAGUGUUCUGGGUUGUAAAAAGUGUUUUUGGCAGGAAAGAAACGGCACGGGAUAAUACCCCGCACCUGAUUUGUUACCUGCAGAAUACACCGGCUAACUACGUGCCAGCAGCCGCGGUAAAGGCCGUAGGGUGCAAGCGUUAAUCGGAAUUACUGGGCGAAGCGUGCAGGCGGUUCGGAAAGAAAGAUGUGAAAUCCCAGAGCUUAACUUUGGAACUGCAUUUUUAACUACCGAGCUAGAGGUGUCAGAGGGAGGUGGAAUUCCGCGUGUAGCAGUGAAAUGCGUAGAUAUGCGGAGAACACCGAUGGCGAAGGUAGCCUCCUGGGAUAACACUGACGCUCUGCGCACGAAAGCGUGGGGAGCAAACAGGAUUAGAUACCCUGGUAGUCCACGCCCAAAUGAUGAUGUCAACUUAGCUGCUGGGGCCUUCGGGCCUUGGUAGCGCAGCUAACGCGUGAAGUUGACCGCCUGGGGAGUACGGGUCGCAAGAUUGCAAACCAAAGAAUUGAUGGGACCGCACAAGCGGUGGAUGAUGUGGAUUAAUUCGAUGCAACGCGAAAAACCUUACCUACCCUUGAUAUGUUCCGGAAUCCCGAAGAGAUUUGGGAGUGCUCGCAAGAGAACCGGAACACAGGUGCUGGUAUGGCUGUCGCCGUACUUCCGUGUCGUGAGAUGUUGGGUUAAGUCCCGGCACCAGCAACCCUUGUCAUUAGUUGCUGCUGAAAGGGCACUCUAAUGACUGCCGGUGACAAACCGGAGGAAGGUGGGGAUGACGCUUAAGUCCUGGGUUCUAUGGGUGGGCUUCACACGUCAUACAAUGGUCGGGACAGAGGGUCGCCAACCCGCGAGGGGGAGCCAACUCUGUGAAACCCGAUCGUAGUCCGGAUCGCAGUCUGCAACUCGACUGCGUGAAGUCGGAAUCGCUAGUAAUCGCGGAUCAGCAUGUCGCGGUGAGUAAUGUUCCUGGUCUUGUACACAUCACGUCAUGACGGCGGGGGAGUGGGUUUUACCAGAAGGGAAGAAUGAACUGCAGGAGGGCGAUUACCACGGUAGGAUUCAUGACUGGGGUGAAGUCGUAACAAGGUAA